CAAAGGCAGAGGCUUUAACCCGCUGAGCCCUUCAGGCGCCCCACAAGUGAACACUUCUAAAUGAUCAUUCAGGAAGCCAGCAUCCUUCCAGCUUGUGAGUCUACUACCCCUGAAAUCCUCUCAUUGGUCCUCUCAUUAUUCACUAGUGGUGCUGUCUGGUCAGUGAGAUGCUAGGAACACAACAGAGUAUCUGAACUCCAACAAACUCCCCAGAUAGGAGGAUGCCACUGUCGUGUACAUGGACCACACAGUUCUCCUCUUACCUGACUGCAGAGACACUAGAAAAUCUAGCAUGCUGAAAAGCACUGCCAGGCUUCCCACCUGAGUCAAACAUUUAUUACAA